rnacentral:rRNA from 1 species
AUUUGAACGCUUGGCGGCAGGCCUAACACAUGCAAGUCGAGCGGUAGCACAGAGAGCUUUGCUCUCGGGUUGACGAGCGGCGGACGGGUGAGUAAUGUCUGGGAAACUGCCUGAUGGAGGGGGAAUAACUACUGGAAACGGUAGCUAAUACCGCAUAACGUCGCAAGACCAAAGUGGGGGACCUUCGGGCCUCAUGCCAUCAGAUGUGCCCAGAUGGGAUUAGCUAGUAGGUGGGGUAACGGCUCACCUAGGCGACGAUCCCUAGCUGGUCUGAGAGGAUGACCAGCCACACUGGAACUGAGACACGGUCCAGACUCCUACGGGAGGCAGCAGUGGGGAAUAUUGCACAAUGGGCGCAAGCCUGAUGCAGCCAUGCCGCGUGUGUGAAGAAGGCCUUCGGGUUGUAAACACUUUCAGCGGGGAGGAAGGCGGUGAGGUUAAUAACCUCAUCGAUUGACGUUACCCGCAGAAGAAACACCGGCUAACUCCGUGCCAGCAGCCGCGGUAAUACGGAGGGUGCAAGCGUUAAUCGGAAUUACUGGGCGUAAAGCGCACGCAGGCGGUCUGUCAAGUCGGAUGUGAAAUCCCCGGGCUUAACCUGGGAACUGCAUUCGAAACUGGCAGGCUAGAGUCUUGUAGAGGGGGGUAGAAUUCCAGGUGUAGCGGUGAAAUGCGUAGAGAUCUGGAGGAAUACCGGUGGCGAAGGCGGCCCCCUGGACAAAGACUGACGCUCAGGUGCGAAAGCGUGGGGAGCAAACAGGAUUAGAUACCCUGGUAGUCCACGCCGUAAACGAUGUCGAUUUGGAGGUUGUGCCCUUGAGGCGUGGCUUCCGGAGCUAACGCGUUAAAUCGACCGCCUGGGGAGUACGGCCGCAAGGUUAAAACUCAAAUGAAUUGACGGGGGCCCGCACAAGCGGUGGAGCAUGUGGUUUAAUUCGAUGCAACGCGAAGAACCUUACCUGGUCUUGACAUCCACAGAACUUUCCAGAGAUGGAUUGGUGCCUUCGGGAACUGUGAGACAGGUGCUGCAUGGCUGUCGUCAGCUCGUGUUGUG